rnacentral:rRNA from 1 species
GACGAACGCUGGCGGCGUGCUUAACACAUGCAAGUCGAACGGAAAGGCCCUGCUUUUGUGGGGUGCUCGAGUGGCGAACGGGUGAGUAACACGUGAGUAACCUGCCCUUGACUUUGGGAUAACUUCAGGAAACUGGGGCUAAUACCGGAUAGGAGCUCCUGCUGCAUGGGGGGGGUUGGAAAGUUUCGGCGGUUGUGGAUGGACUCGCGGCUUAUCAGCUUGUUGGUGGGGUAGUGGCUUACCAAGGCUUUGACGGGUAGCCGGCCUGAGAGGGUGACCGGCCACAAUGGGACUGAGAGACGGACCAGACGCCUACGGGAGGCAGCAGUGGGGAAUAUUGCGCAAUGGGCGGAAGCCUGAUGCAGCAACGCCGCGUGCGGGAUGACGGCCUUCGGGUUGUAAACCGCUUUCGCCUGUGACGAAGCGUGAGUGACGGUAAUGGGUAAAGAAGCACCGGCUAACUACGUG